UUGUGGCUGAUCUGGGGCUUUGAACUAGUGCAUAGGAGCUUUCCUUUGCACUAUCCCAACCCUACUGGUAUCAAGACCAUCCUCUCCCAUGGCUGUUGACACCUUGCGUCUUCUUUGGUGAAGUUUGUUCAAAUUUCCUGCUGCUUUUUAUCACGAUUUUCCUCCUUGUUGAGUUACAUCAUCAUUGGAGACGCAUCUACUGUUUUCCUAUGACCUGAUGAGAUCCCAGGAUAGCCGAAGGAUGCUCUGAGAACGAAUGAUGCUCAGGACUGAGUGGAAACAUCCUACAGAAGGAGGAGUCUCUCGCUCAAGGACUUAACCCACACUACUCAACAGCUGCAGCCAGAAGUUCCCCAGUACACCAUCUGCGAGGGACCUAUUUAAGCAUGGCUGUUAUCACCAGCAUGGACCAAUCAGGCAGUGGACAUUUCCUGUGGAUCUUCUCUGUGUAUGAUACUAUAAUAUAUGGCAAGUUUCUAAGAAGACAGGGUGAGAUGACAUAACAUUGCCCUAAGAUGCUGAAUAUUUAGUUUGGGAAAAAAACUCAAUGUAAAAUAUACCAAGAAAUUAUAAUUUUGUAUUUUGCUUAAUUAAAGAUUUCCAUAUGAAA